rnacentral:lncRNA from 1 species
AGGGCAAGUACAUUGGUGUCGUCUAAUAAGCGGUCUCAUGCAUUGACACGUAAUCUUGAGACAAUUUAACAGGCAACUUGUACAAUGGGUUGUCCUAUAAGUUGUCUGGUAGUGGUAUAUAAUUUCUUAAUUUGUGCAUAAGAAAAAUAAAAUAUUAUGAGUUGCAUGGCAACAAUAACUCGUACAAUGGUGGUUAAGUUGUCUCGUAGUCCUACAAUUUAGCUCAUGAGGUGGUUGUUUCACGAAGCAACGAUCUCUUUCUCUCUCCUCUCUCUCUCCUCCACAUCAUCAAAAAUCCUACAUGGCACUGCAUGAGACGAACUAUGAGACCGUUGACGUGUAGUAAUAUACUUGCCCUAAAUUCAUUUCAGAACUCCGCGUGUCGUAUUGCAACGUUAAUGAACGACCUACUCGUUAUUAUAAAAAAAAAUAGAAAAAUGAACGACCGAAGAAGUGGCUACCCUAUCAGCUACUACUGGUAUUUUCGGAAUUGGGAAGGGUGCAUGCAAGAAUGCAGUAUUUAAACCAAUGUCUGCGCACCAAAAAAAAAAGAGCGAGUUCAAUGCAGCCGGCAGGGAUGACCAGAUGGAGGCUGAAGUAAAGGAUCUCAUCAGUUACUGACUAGGUACUGCAUCUGUUUUUAUUUUCCCUUGCCUUGUGGUGCAGGAUAUGUGGUCGUCAGAUAGUAGUGCUUUGGUGAGAUGCAGAAGGCAUGAGAGAAGUACUGCAUUCAAUGAACGUGCCAAGACUCAUCCAACGGACUUCUCCCACAGGCUUGCCAAACGGCUAACGUCAAAACGGCUCACAGGCGAAAGCCGAGCGAAUCCCGAUCUCUGCGUUAGGGCAUAUUUGGUUUAAGUGCUUAUAUUAUAAGCAACUUAAAGUUACUUAUUUGGAGUUGCUUAUUUUUAGUUCAGUUAUUUGGAUACCCUUACUUAUAAGCAUUGAAUGAGGUGGAUAUUGUCAUGUUUGCCCCUAAUCAUUGAGAGAGAGAGGGAGGGCCGCCAGGCAUUUGGUGUAAAGUGCAUUGAAUAGUCCCCAUAUGCAACCAUAAGCAACCAAGAGUUGCUUAGGGCAGUCCUAAUGGGACAUUGAUGAUAGUUUCUAUCCCUCUUAAUUAUCAUGCCAACGAAGCAAUUUGCUGAUGUGGCAGUAGAUUUAUUAUGGAGAGAGAGAAACCAUUUCUUAGAGAGGAAACCAAGUCCUCACACGCACCAAUGAGCCAAGAAAUCAGUGAUUCAGCAUUGGGGAGACCCAAGUAGUUUCUUCUUAAUUACUGCAGGAUCCUUUGCGCUUACACCGCUACUACUCAUCACUCGAGCUCCUUUACAUGAUGUACAGAGGAUCUGGUACUAGAAAGGAGAAUCAUUGGUUGGAUUUUUAUUUAGACUCUAGAUAAAAAAGUUGCAUUGUGAAGGAUGAUUUCUUGAUACAAUAUCCUAGAUUAUGGAAACAAGGAUAUUAUGGAAACUAGGUUGGUUUCUCCCAUUGGGACUGCCCUUAUUUGCUUAUAAUAAGCAAUCCCAUAAGCAAGAGUGAUUGGUUUCAUAAGCAACUUAUUUACUUAUUUUAAGUUGAUUAUGCAUAAGCAUGGGAAACAAACAGGCCCUUCCUCCGCUAAGGAGAAGCAAAGAAAAAAAAACGGCCCUUCCUCCACUAAGGAGAAGCAAAGAAAAAAAACGGCUCUACCGGCUCGUUCCCCACCAAAACGCUAAAAGACGCAUGUGCCCCUACUGUUUCAUGGAAAUUACCUUACCUGCCACUCAAGCUGCGAGCUCGGCAGGCGCGUGGAGGUGACGGUCGAGUGCUCGGGGCGGUUGGGCGGAGCUCCACGGGCGCGUGCGCUGUGGCGGCGGUUGGGACAGAGGUCGGCGGCAGAGGGGGUGGAGGCGUGGAGCUGGGCGGGCGCGUGGAGGCAGCGGCCGGGAGUCCGGGACCGAGCUCGGCGGGCGCGCGGAGAUGGCGGCCUGGGUGGAGGUCAACGGGCGGGUGCGCAGAGCUGGAGGCCAGGGUGGGGCUCGAUGGCGCGCGACUAGCAGGGCACCGAUUCGAGAUGCUGCCGCGCUGGAACUGAGCGGUGGAGAGAAUAAUGGGCGGCGGAGAAAAAAUCUGGAAGAAAGAGGACGUAUG